AUCCGGCUGACGAGUCCCAAAUAAGAUUAAAUGCACGUCCUGGAU
rfam:Schistosoma mansoni, Puerto Rico, WGS project CABG01000000 data, contig: 0179